UACGAAGGGGGCUAGCGUUGCUCGGAAUGACUGGGCGUAAAGGGCGCGUAGGCGGCGGACACAGUCAGAUGUGAAAUUCCCGGGCUCAACCUGGGGGCUGCAUUUGAUACGUGUUUGCUUGAGUGGGGAAGAGGGUCGUGGAAUUCCCAGUGUAGAGGUGAAAUUCGUAGAUAUUGGGAAGAACACCGGUGGCGAAGGCGGCGACCUGGUCCUUGACUGACGCUGAGGCGCGAAAGCGUGGGGAGCAAACAGG
rnacentral:rRNA from 1 species